rnacentral:tRNA from 1 species
GGGGAUGUAGCAUAGUGGUAGAGCUCUUGCCUAGCACACAUAAAGCUCUGGGUUCCAUUCCCAGCAUUGUCA